rnacentral:lncRNA from 1 species
AUGCUUAGGGGAUACUGGUGCCCUCUGAGAGAUCUGGAACACCUCAAGAGCUUCAGCCGAGAUGGAUGGAUGGUCAGGAAGUCAAUGAGGUGGUCAAAUACAUAUCCAUGGUUUGGUCAUAUUGUCACUGUUCCAGGACUUCCCUCACAUUUCCACUUUCCACCAUAUGGCUGUCAUUACCUCAAAUGUGCGAUAUUCGUAAGUGCUGGAGAUGUUCAUAAUAGAAUUCUAUGUGAUGCUAAUAGUUAAGAAUGUGUAUAGCCUAUGUCCAUUCUCUUAGCUGCUUCUAAU